rnacentral:lncRNA from 1 species
ACAAAUUGAGUGUGAAAUAUCAAAAUAUCUGAAUAGCCCAAAGUCAAAAUGUUUUAUGUAACUUUCUCAAUAAUUUUUAGAGCGGGGGUUAAAUGGUUUUCACAUUCUUUUUAAUCUCUAAAAUAAAAUCAAUUAUUAAAUAAAUUUGUUAAAAUAACAACUCUAAAAAUCAUCAAAUCUUGUAUCCAAGAUUAUUAGUCACCCAUGUGUUUGUAAUGAUUUCCUCAUGAAUUUUCAUAUCAAUUUUGAUUGCGAUUAGAACUUGAUUUGAAAUACUAAAAGAUAGAAAUAAUCCACAAAAGUGUCUUCUAAAUAAAUGAAUGCAUUUUGGAAGUAUAUGGAUCUAGAUGAGAGUGUGGGACAAGUUUAAUAACUGUUAUAUGCAUUUUGAUAGGACUGGGACGAGAACUCGGUAUAAGUGAAGGACCGGGAUGAGAGCAUGGGACAAAUUUAAGAAUCAUUAUGUAUGUUUGAGACUAGCCGGACUGGGAAGAGAGCUGGGGCAAGUUUAAGGAUGGCCAGUAAAAUUUACUCUAAAAAUAUUUUCAUCAACUAACAAAUACGACAUUGACGGGACAAAGCAUGCACGAACCUCAUUAAAUUUUAAUUAAUGAGUAUGUUCACGGUACUUGGAGAAGUACAAAGAGCUACCAAAAAUACAAACAGGGAUUUUGUACCUAGGUAUCAAACAGUGAUACCUCCUAAAUUAUUAUUAGUGGUGCCUCUGCAACAAAAGUAAAAUAACUCCUUUUCAAUACCUAAUGUAACAUUUUUGACAUUUUAAGGUCAAAAUUGUACCUUUCUCCAAACAGAUGCAUGCUCUUCCAAUG